rnacentral:rRNA from 1 species
GAGCACGUAGGUGGGUUUGUAAGUCAGAUGUGAAAGCCUUCUGUUCAAAGGAAGAGCGGCAUCUGAAACUGCAGAUCUUGAGUGUAGGAGGGGAGGGUGGAACUUCUGGUGGAGCGGUGAAAUGCGUAGAUACCAGAAGGAACGUCGGCGGCGAAAGCGACUCUCUGGCCUAUUACUGACACUGAGUGUGCGAAAGUUGGGGGAGCAAACGGGAUUAGAUACCCCGGUAGUCCUAACUGUAAACGAUGGGCACUAAGUAGAGGGGU